CCUACGGGAGGCAGCAGUAAGGAAUAUUGGUCAAUGGACGAAAGUCUGAACCAGCCAUGCCGCGUGAAGGAUGACGGCCCUCUGGGUUGUAAACUUCUUUUAUAUGGGACGAAAAAAGGGAAUUCUUUCUCACUUGACGGUACCAUAGGAAUAAGCACCGGCUAACUCCGUGCCAGCAGCCGCGGUAAUACGGAGGGUGCAAGCGUUAUCCGGAUUCACUGGGUUUAAAGGGUGCGUAGGUGGGUAGGUAAGUCAGUGGUGAAAUCUCCGAGCUUAACUCGGAAACUGCCAUUGAUACUAUCUAUCUUGAAUAUUUUGGAGGUGAGCGGAAUAUGUCAUGUAGCGGUGAAAUGCUUAGAUAUGACAUAGAACACCAAUUGCGAAGGCAGCUCACUACGAAAUUAUUGACACUGAGGCACGAAAGCGUGGGGAUCAAACAGGAUUAGAUACCCUGGUAGUCCACGCCCUAAACGAUGGAUACUCGACAUCAGCGAUACACUGUUGGUGUNUGNGNGAAGAGAUAAGUAUCCACCGNGGAGUAACGACCGCGAGUUAGUAAGUUACAAUAGAGUUAGAGGCGNGAGACGNGCCGACGGACGACGACGAGGGAGGAGG
rnacentral:rRNA from 1 species